GGGCAUAUGGCGGAAUGGUAGACGCAGUAGACUCAAAAUCUACCGGAGUAAUCCUUGAAGGUUCAAGUCCUUUUAUGCCCACCA
rnacentral:tRNA from 1 species